GGUACAGAAAUUAAAGUCGUAGGUAAAAUAGAAGACACAAACGAAGAAGUCGAAGUUAAUUUCAACUUUCUAGAAGAAUCCCCCAAUGCCCUUGACGAAAAGGAUGUUUAUUUAGAUAAGUAGUUUUCCUUUACUGUGAUCAACAAAAAACGAGAAACAAACCCGCAUCGUCGGAUAUCCACAGGCGGUCACGUCUAAGCCCACCAACCUUGGGUGGCCAAAGAUGAUUAGCAUGUAUUCUUAUUUUUUUGGUAUUGUUUAAUUUUCAACAAGAAAUAUGAAAUAAAUGCUUAGCUUUUAGAUAGAUUGUCAAAUGUCAACCACCCCCCCCCCCCCC
rnacentral:misc_RNA from 1 species